AUGAACGUCAAAUCAUCAUGCCCCUUAUGUUCUGGGCUACACACGUGCUACAAUGGCCGGUACAGACGGACGCAAAGCCGCGAGGUGGAGCAAAUCCUAAAAAGCCGGUCUCAGUUCGGAUUGCAGGCUGCAAUUCGCCUGCAUGAAGUCGGAAUCGCUAGUAAUCGCAGGUCAGCAUACUGCGGUGAAUACGUUCCCGGGCCUU
rnacentral:rRNA from 1 species